UACGUAGGGACCGAGCGUUGUCCGGAAUCCUUGGGCGUAACGAGCGUGUAGGCGGCCAUGUAGGUCCGGUGUGAAAACUCGAGGCUUAACCUCGAGAUGUCAUCGGAAACCAUUUGGCUAGAGUCCGGAAGAGGAGAGUGGAAUUCCUGGUGUAGCGGUGAAAUGCGCAGAUAUCAGGAAGAACACCAAUGGCGAAAGCAGCUCUCUGGGACGGUACUGACGCUGAGACGCGAAAGCGUGGGGAGCGAACAGG
rnacentral:rRNA from 1 species